AUUGAACGCUGGCGGCAUGCCUUACACAUGCAAGUCGAACGGUAACAGGUCUUCGGAUGCUGACGAGUGGCGAACGGGUGAGUAAUACAUCGGAACGUGCCCGAUCGUGCGGGAUAACGGAGCGAAAGCUUUGCUAAUACCGCAUACGAUCUACGGAUGAAAGCAGGGGACCGCAAGGCCUUGCGCGGACGGAGCGGCCGAUGGCAGAUUAGGUAGUUGGUGGGAUAAAAGCUUACCAAGCCGACGAUCUGUAGCUGGUCUGAGAGGACGACCAGCCACACUGGGACUGAGACACGGCCCAGACUCCUACGGGAGGCAGCAGUGGGGAAUUUUGGACAAUGGGCGAAAGCCUGAUCCAGCCAUGCCGCGUGCAGGAUGAAGGCCUUCGGGUUGUAAACUGCUUUUGUACGGAACGAAAAGACUCUUUCUAAUAAAGAGGGUCCAUGACGGUAUCGUAAGAAUAAGCACCGGCUAACUACGUG
rnacentral:rRNA from 1 species